UGGUGGAGUGAUUUGUCUGGUUAAUUCCGAUAACGAACGAGACGUUUGGCGUUAAUUAUUUUAGCCGCGACUGAUCUUUGCUAAAGAUAGGAAGCGAAACGCAAUAACA
rnacentral:rRNA from 1 species